UGCUAAAAGAGGGGACAGUCUUACA
rnacentral:piRNA from 2 species